rnacentral:rRNA from 1 species
UAGGGAAUCUUCCGCAAUGGGCGAAAGCCUGACGGAGCAACGCCGCGUGAGGGAUGAAGGUCUUCGGAUCGUAAAACUCUGUUAUUAGGGAAGAACAAAUGUGUAAGUAACUAUGCACGUCUUGACGGUACCUAAUCAGAAAGCCACGGCUAACUACGUGCCAGCAGCCGCGGUAAUACGUAGGUGGCAAGCGUUAUCCGGAAUUAUUGGGCGUAAAGCGCGCGUAGGCGGUUUUUUAAGUCUGAUGUGAAAGCCCACGGCUCAACCGUGGAGGGUCAUUGGAAACUGGAAGACUUGAGUGCAGAAGAGGAAAGUGGAAUUCCAUGUGUAGCGGUGAAAUGCGCAGAGAUAUGGAGGAACACCAGUGGCGAAGGCGACUUUCUGGUCUGUAACUGACGCUGAUGUGCGAAAGCGUGGGGAUCAAACAGG